AGCUUGCUCCUCGGGUGACGAGUGGCGGACGGGUGAGUAAUGUCUGGGAAACUGCCCGAUGGAGGGGGAUAACUACUGGAAACGGUAGCUAAUACCGCAUAACGUCGCAAGACCAAAGUGGGGGACCUUCGGGCCUCACACCAUCGGAUGUGCCCAGAUGGGAUUAGCUUGUAGGCGGGGUAACGGCCCACCUAGGCGACGAUCCCUAGCUGGUCUGAGAGGAUGACCAGCCACACUGGAACUGAGACACGGUCCAGACUCCUACGGGAGGCAGCAGUGGGGAAUAUUGCACAAUGGGCGCAAGCCUGAUGCAGCCAUGCCGCGUGUAUGAAGAAGGCCUUCGGGUUGUAAAGUACUUUCAGCGGGGAGGAAGGUGCUGAGGUUAAUAACCUCAGCAAUUGACGUUACCCGCAGAAGAAGCACCGGCUAACUCCGUGCCAGCAGCCGCGGUAAUACGGAGGGUGCAAGCGUUAAUCGGAAUUACUGGGCGUAAAGCGCACGCAGGCGGUCUGUUAAGUCACAUGUGAAAAUCCCCGGGCUUAAACCUGGGAACUGCAUUUGAAACUGGCAGGCUUGAGUCUCGUUAGAGGGGGGUAGAAUUCCAGGUGUAGCGGUGAAAUGCGUAGAGAUCUGGAGGAAUACCGGUGGCGAAGGCGGCCCCCUGGACGAAUACUGACGCUCAGGUGCGAAAGCGUGGGGAGCAAACCAGGAUUAAAUACCCCUGGUAGUUCCCACGGCCCGU
rnacentral:rRNA from 1 species